rnacentral:rRNA from 1 species
AUUGAACGCUGGCGGCAUGCUUUACACAUGCAAGUCGAGCGGCAGCGCGGGGGCAACCCUGGCGGCGAGCGGCGAACGGGUGAGUAAUGCAUCGGAACGUACCCCGUAGUGGGGGAUAACCCAGCGAAAGCUGGGCUAAUACCGCAUAUGCUCUACGGAGGAAAGUGGGGGACUCGCAAGGGCCUCACGCUAUGGGAGCGGCCGAUGUCCGAUUAGCUAGUUGGUGGGGUAAUGGCCCCACCAAGGCGACGAUCGGUAGCUGGUCUGAGAGGAUGAUCAGCCACACUGGGACUGAGACACGGCCCAGACUCCUACGGGAGGCAGCAGUGGGGAAUUUUGGACAAUGGGGGGCAACCCUGAUCCAGCCAUGCCGCGUGCGGGAAGAAGGCCUUCGGUUGU